rnacentral:rRNA from 1 species
GAGGAAUAUUGGUCAAUGGGGGCAACCCUGAACCAGCCAAGUCGCGUGAAGGAUGAAGGUCUUAUGGAUUGUAAACUUCUUUUACACGGGUAUAAAGCGGGGGACGUGUCCCCCUUUGCAUGUACCGUGUGAAUAAGGAUCGGCUAACUCCGUGCCAGCAGCCGCGGUAAUACGGAGGAUCCGGGCGUUAUCCGGCUUUAUUGGGUUUAAAGGGUGCGCAGGCGGGAUGUUAAGUCGGCGGUGAAAUUUUGCAGCUCAACUGUAAAAGUGCCUUCGAUACUGGCCUCCUUGAGUGUGGAUGAAGUAGGCGGAAUUGGUGGUGUGGCGGUGAAAUGCUUAGAUAUCACGUGGAACUCCGAUUGCGCAGGCAGCUUACUAAGCCACAACUGACGCUCAUGCACGAAGGCGUGGGGAUCAAACA